rnacentral:rRNA from 1 species
CCCGAAACCAAGUGAUCUACCCAUGGCCAGGAUGAAGGUGCCGUAACAGGUACUGGAGGUCCGAACCGACUAGUGUUGCAAAACUAGCGGAUGAGCUGUGGAUAGGGGCGAAAGGCUAAACAAACUUGGAAAUAGCUGGUUCUCUCCGAAAACUAUUUAGGUAGUGCCUCAAGUAUUACCGUCGGGGGUAGAGCACUGUUUAGGCUAGGGGGUCAUGGCGACUUACCAAACCUAUGCAAACUCCGAAUACCGAUGAGUACAGCUUGGGAGACAGAGCACCGGGUGCUAACGUCCGGACUCAAGAGGGAAACAACCCAGACCGCCAGCUAAGGUCCCUAAAAUUGGCUAAGUGGGAAACGAAGUGGGAAGGCUAAAACAGUCAGGAUGUUGGCUUAGAAGCAGCCAUCAUUUAAAGAAAGACGUAAUAGCUCACUGAUCGAGUCGUCCUGCGCGGAAGAUGUAACGGGG